UUGCAAAAAAAAAAAAAAAAAAAAAAAAGACUUAACUUCUCUAUUGCAUCGAUUCUCAACUUUAUUGCAAGACCCAUACCAGCCUUUUUGCUGAGUAAUUUGUGCGAUUCAUCAAAUCGCAGAUGGCUUUCAUUUAUUUAUAUUUUUUCAAUUUAAUCCUAUAUAUUGAAAGGUAUAUCUGCGAAUUUCUAAGAUGACUAACAUUCAUUUAUAUUUUUUCAUUUUAACAUAUUGUUUCGUAUAUUUUUUCUAGUGUGGAUGUAUAGGUAAGAUCGAAGUGAUGCAUGGAAGAUCUGAGUACAGAUCUGUGUUUUUGAAGUGCUCAGUAACCCUAAUUUCGCAUAUGGCUCAAAGGGUAAUAGAUCUUCGAAAAGCCAGGAGAUCUAGAACUUUAAGAAGACAUUCUUCUAUGAAGGUUUAUACAAAGUUAAAGAUAAGUGUAAUGUGAAGAGUUAAUUAUUAUACUGUAUUCCUAUGAAGAUUAAGCAUACAAUAUUUGCAAUCAAAUAUGCAAUUGGAUUUCAUAUUCAUUAUGUACUGUAAAUUGUAAAAAAAAAAAAAAAAAAGAAAGAAAUGUAGCAUAAUCCGACAUUUGUUUAGAUUAAAGUAAUAUAAGGCAAACUGUUAACUAACCUUUGAUAUGUGAUGAUAGUUUUCUCUUGUUUCCAAUAACUGUUGAACCAGUUAGUUGCUUCAUAGCUCAAUACUUGAUCUGCUUUCUACUUCGCCAAGAAAACUGUUAGGAUAGUAUCAUUACAAAACAGUGUUCUUAUAUGCUUAUGAACAUGUUUGAUUCUUGAAUGCCAUAUAUAUAUAUAGCUAUCAACUUGUAGAGAAUUCAAAACUCACUAUUUAGGAUUGCUAUAGUGUACUCAAUGUUGAUUACAACAUUGUAGUAGGGCUAGGUGUAUGGGGAAAGCCAAAGUGUUGUGUGUUUUGGGUACUGUGUAACUUGUAGUGUACUCAAGCAUGUAAUAGAUAAUUAAUGUUUUUGUUCUGAUUCUAUUUUAAAACCCAAAUACUAACAAUCUAAAUUUACAGGCAAGUGAUGAUAAAGAAAUUUGAUGCAUUUUUUUUUUUUUUUUUUUUUUUUUUUUUGGGUCUUCUAAAUUCUAAUCCCAUUAUUCUAAUCUAAACAUAAUACAUGUCAGUAUAAUACACUAAUCCUCUAAUUGCUUUCAAGCUCGAAAUAUCUUGUUGCAUCUUAAAUUUCUAAUUCAUGUUUCUACUGACUGCUCAUGAUAUAUUUGUUCUUUCAGGUCUGUUCCAUUGGAAAUACUACCUGCAAAAAUUAGUUUUCUUUCUACAGUAUGUGGUCUUUGGACAUAACAAGCCUUAACCUAUGGACAGAUCAAGGAUCACUCUUAGGCAUUGAUGCGCUUCUUGGUUGCCCCUCCCUAUCUCUAAGCUUUGCCUCUCCCAGUUCAAGUUUCCCCAAAACAAAUGAGCAUCACUGUAUAAAUCUUAAAAAGGAAGAAGUUUCGUGAGAUAGAAAGGAAAACAUUACCUCCUGUUUCUUGAUCUUUCUCUUGUGUUUCAGUACACUGUAAAUGUGGGGUUUCACUUUCUAUUGUGUUUCAUUGUAAAUGUGGGGUUUCACUGUGAAACAUCUAGUAUUUAUAGCUAGCAUCUCACAAAAAUUCAGUUUCAAAAAUAUGUAAUAAUUAUAUUUUAGCAUGCUUGCUUGUGUAAUGGUAAUAAAUGAU